CUCAAACUGUCAGUCAAACCUCUUAACUCCGCCCCCUGAGUGCAGCGAACUGAAGUUCCACAGCAGAGCAGCUGAACGUCUUGCUACGUCUUGGCCUGGCAUCUGGUGUGUAGGUGGUGUUAAGACUUUGAAAGACCUUGAAAAGCACACUACCAUCACUAAAGUUUGGAGUCGAUGUUGUGAUGUUGGCAGGUUCAACAUUGCCUGCAGAGAGUUUCCAGUGGGCAAGUCAAGCUAUGUGUUUAGAUGAAGAAGAAAUGGUGAUGAUGAUUGAUGUGGGUUUCCCAAAGGGACAUCCAAGCCAGACAUAAUAAACACGGACAUGCUGGGUAUGUGCUGCCUACGUUAGAUUGCAAGGGUACGCGCGGAAAGACAGGCUGUCGGGAUGCUGAUGGGCAGCCGGGUGUCAGUGUUCUGUUUUGAAGCAUUUAAUGAGCUGCGCUGCUUGAGCGCAAGUGAUUAAUGACGUGACGUUCCUGAAGCCGAAUUGGCGAAUGGUACGUUGCCAAAGAGGUGAAACAGCUGUCCGAUUGAGUGUGACAUAUGAGUUUGCUCCGCAGCAUUUAAUAAAGGACAGGACGCCAAUUGAGCAAUCGAGCAGUUGCGUUAUAAUCAUUCAUUAUCUUUAUGAUUAUGGCCAAUUUUCACAUCCAGGAAUCAUUCAACAGAGUGGCUGCAAUAAUGGAGCUACUCAAGCGGACUGAACAGGAGGAAACCAAGGAGAACUCCUACAGCUCCUCUGUACUCCUGGCAGCAAAGGAACAGCAGUCUUUUUUGUCUUUUAACACAAGCAAGCGUUAAAAAUGGUGUAAGUGAGUGCAAAGCACCGUCGGGGGUCUAAAACAGCAACCAGGUCACAAUCUUUGGUAUU